GACCUAGCAAUAGGUAUGCUUAGGGAGGAGCUUGCGUCACAUUAGUUAGUUGGUGGGGUAAAGGCCUAMCAAGACUAUGAUGUGUAGCCGGGCUGAGAGGUUGAACGGCCACAUUGGGACUGAGACACGGCCCAAACUCCUACGGGAGGCAGCAGUAGGGAAUUUUCGGCAAUGGAGGAAACUCUGACCGAGCAACGCCGCGUGAACGAUGAAGUAUUUCGGUACGUAAAGUUCUUUUAUUAGGGAAGAAUAAAUGAUGGAAAAAUCAUUCUGACGGUACCUAAUGAAUAAGCCCCGGCUAACUAUGUGCCAGCAGCCGCGGUAAUACAUAGGGGGCAAGCGUUAUCCGGAAUUAUUGGGCGUAAAGGGUGCGUAGGCGGUUAAAUAAGUUUAUGGUCUAAGUGCAAUGCUCAACAUUGUGAUGCUAUAAAAACUGUUUAGCUAGAGUAAGAUAGAGGCAAGUGGAAUUCCAUGUGUAGUGGUAAAAUGCGUAAAUAUAUGGAGGAACACCAGUAGCGAAGGCGGCUUGCUGGGUCUUUACUGACGCUGAGGCACGAAAGCGUGGGGAGCAAACAGGAUUAGAUACCCUGGUAGUCCACGCCGUAAACGAUGAGUACUAAACGUUGGGUAAAAACCAGUGUUGAAGUUAACACAUUAAGUACUCCGCCUGAGUAGUACGUACGCAAGUAUGAAACUUAAAGGAAUUGACGGGACUCCGCACAAGCGGUGGAUCAUGUUGUUUAAUUCGAAGGUACCCGAAAAACCUCACCAGGUCUUGACAUGCUUCUGCAAAGCUGUAGAAACACAGUGGAGGUUAUCAGUUGCACAGGUGGUGCAUGGUUGUCGUCAGCUCGUGUCGUGAGAUGUUGGGUUAAGUCCCGCAACGAGCGCAACCCUUAUUGUUAGUUACCAGCACGUAAUGGUGGGGACUUUAGCAAGACUGCCAGUGAUAAAUUGGAGGAAGGUGGGGACGACGUCAAAUCAUCAUGCCCCUUAUGACCUGGGCUACAAACGUGAUACAAUGGCUGUUACAAAGGGUAGCUGAAGCGCAAGUUUUUGGCGAAUCUCAAAAAAACAGUCUCAGUUCGGAUUGAAGUCUGCAACUCGACUUCAUGAAGUUGGAAUCGCUAGUAAUCGCGAAUCAGCA
rnacentral:rRNA from 2 species